GCUGCGGUAGCUCAGUGGUAGAGCACUCCCUUGGUAAGGGUGAGGUCGAGAGUUCAAUCCUCUCUCGCAGCACCA
rnacentral:tRNA from 1 species